AUGCACGAAGUCUGAUGCAGCCCGCCGCGUGAGGAUGAACGUUUCGGUGCGUAAACUCCUUUUAUAUAAGAAGAUAAUGACGGUAUUAUAUGAAUAAGCACCGGCCAACUCCGUGCCAGCUCCCGCGGUAA
rnacentral:rRNA from 1 species